AGUGAACGCUGGCGGCGUGCUUAACACAUGCAAGUCGAACGAGAACGGAUUAUAGCUUGCUAUAAUUGUCAGCUAAGUGGCGCACGGGUGAGUAAUGUAUAGGUAAUAUGCCUCUUACUAAGGGAUAACAAAUGGAAACGUCUGCUAAUACCUUAUACUCCUUAUUAACAUAAGUUAAUAAGGGAAAGAUUUAUUGGUAAGAGAUUAGCCCGUAUUGUAUCAGUUAGUUGGUGGGGUAAUGGCUUACCAAGACUAUGACACAUAACUGGUUUGAGAGGAUGAUCAGUCACACUGGAACUGAGACACGGUCCAGACUCCUACGGGAGGCAGCAGUGGGGAAUAUUGCACAAUGGACGAAAGUCUGAUGCAGCAACGCCGCGUGGAGGAUGACACAUUUCGGUGCGUAAACUCCUUUUAUAUGAGAAGAUAAUGACGGUAUUAUAUGAAUAAGCACCGGCUAACUCCGUGCCAGCCGCCGCCGUAA
rnacentral:rRNA from 1 species